AAGGUGUUGAUCUGUCCCCUGGUAGUAAAGGAAUAAAGGUGAUGAUCUUUCCCCUGGUAGUAAAGGAAUAAAGGUGUUGAUCUGUCCCCUGGUAGUAAAGGAAUAAAGGUGUUGAUCUGUC